CUCGUGCUCAUCAUUUUUCUGUGACGUCGUUCUUUCUGGUGCUUCCUCGUGUCGCGGUCUCUGCGGAGAAACAGCAGAAGCGAAGUCCAGCCUGAUCUCUCUCGCAUGUCUCGAGUCCUCCUCGUUCCCGCCUCCUCCGCGCUCGUCGAAAGGGUGUCGGCUCUUCUUCUCGCUUGAUCUGGAGGAGCGGCAGCGAUCGUUCAAGAUGCGGGGAGAAGCUACGAGGGUCUUGGCUAAGGCCGACGCAAGGAGGGCGAGACUGUUUGAGUCCCAGCGAGGCAGAAGAGCUUUCUCCUGCUUCAGAUCAGAGGAGUUUGGAGUCGUUGUUUCUUCAUCAAAAAGCCUUGUUGUCGAGGUAGUCGUGAGUCCACAAUCCACCGCAGCGGUCCAGCCACGGGCUACACGCCUCGGCGAGAGAGAAGUGUGAGUAGCGGGGAUGUUUAAUGCCUGCAUGUUAACAUCAUCUGGAACUAGACACGGUGUCUCUCCUAGUGGUAUGCCCUGUACGAAACGAUUUCUGUUCUGAGCUGGAAAGAACAACUCCAAUGGCUCGUGUCUCCCUCUCGCCGCUGUCCUGUUUUCCUGCUCGCUCCUUCUUCCAUCGCGCUCUGUUUCUGCCUGGCUCUCGCGUUUCUCCUCAGACUGAGGUAGAAGCCUGUUCUCCUUUGCGGGCUCUCCUAGUCGCGGCCGACGACCCAGUCUCCCCGCAACAGACAGAUCCAGUUCCCUGGCUUCAGAAGCCGGUGUCACGCGCCGUUCGAACAGGGGAGGCCCCGAUACCGCCUUUAGAGCCAGAGCUGCUUCUUGAAGCCUGAUAAGAGACGCGAAUCUCUUCUCUUCUUGACGACUCAUUUCCUCCAAGAAAGCCAGCUGUGCACGACUGCACUCUCCACCCUGCAGCAGAGCUGCCGUCACAAAGUCGUCUCCCUCGUCGUUCCAUGACUCUUUGGAAACAGCCGCUGGAGUUUCUUGCGAGGAGCCAUGACAGCCCGCGUUGUGUGCGGGGAAGCGCCUCUGUCCUGAGAACGUGCCUGCAGGCGAGCAAAACUCGGAGGAGUCGUGCGUCGUGGGAGACUCGCGAUUUUGCAUUGUCUGCUCUGGAUGAGCAAGCGAGAAGACGAGGCUCUCUGGAGAGGACAGACCGGCCUUUCUGCAACUCAAAACUCCUCCCGAUUUCGCAGGGGAAGCGGGGAAUCUGACUUCAUUCCCAGAAGAGAGAGGGGGAAAGACGCGGCAGGGAAAAAGGCCGGCUUGGGGAUUGGGCUCUCUACGCAUGACGACAGACGCAGGCUGUGGUGAGGUCGGGACUUGACAAUUCGAGGAAGAUGGGGAACGGGCUUCUGGAAGCGGCUGUCCGCGUGCGUCUGAGCACUUCGUUGUGUUAGGACCGAGAGGCCCACGCGAAGAGGUAGAAGGAGAGUUGCAGAGCCGGGGAGGCAUGCGAGAACCCUUAUGUAUCCUCGCCGUUUCAAGAAAUCCAAGAGUAUCCACGUCGUGGAUCAGAUGUCCGGGGUGCCGUGAGUCCUCUCGCGCCUCCACAGACAAAUGGGUAGUGGAGAGGGCUCCAAGCCGGAAGGCGUCUGGAAGUGACGAGAUCAACUGUUCAGGAAACGGGAUGUUGCUCGUUCUAUCGAGGCCACGAGACGACGCUAAUGAAGAGACGAAGGACGCAGAGGAAAAGGGUGGAACAGUUGGCUGACUGUAGCCGAGAAAAGCACCUCCCAUGGUGUCGAAGGGUCGUUGAAUGAUAGACCCUCUUGGCUUUCUAUGCUUCGUCACGUCGCUCAACAAGAGCCUCCAGUCUACUCUCUCUGACUCGUGUUCGUCUUGGUCUUCACUUCCUCUCUCCCGGGCGUCGUCUCUCUCGCCGCAAGAUUGAGUGUCUCUUACGGACACCGAGAAGACCGGUCUGUUGUUGACAUGAAGGGAACGUGUACACUGCGCCUCCUCCAUCGUAUCUGCUCAGUCCUGGAAUGCUCAUGCGCCAGAUCAUGAAAGUCGAGAGGGCACCUCGAGGAACGAAACUGUCAACGUUAGACCGCCACUGUUUCGAUGUGAAUUAUAUAUCUAUAUAUAUACAAAUAUAUGUAUGUAUUAAAUAUGAAAAGUGCCCCUGUCCCAGCUGUGGCUUUUCCGUCGCAGUGAAAGUUCGUGAGUAAUCCUGUCUUAAAAAGUACGGCUCCCAAAACGCGGGCAUUGUCAUUCUAUCGUCUGAGAAGUCUUUCUCUUUGAC
rnacentral:lncRNA from 1 species